rnacentral:rRNA from 1 species
CCAGACUCCUACGGGAGGCAGCAGUGAGGAAUAUUGGUCAAUGGACGUAAGUCUGAACCAGCCAAGUAGCGUGCAGGAUUGACGGCCCUAUGGGUUGUAAACUGCUUUUGUUGGGGAGUAAAGUGGGGCACGCGUGCCUUUUUGCAUUUACCCUUCGAAUAAGGACCGGCUAAUUCCGUGCCAGCAGCCGCGGUAAUACGGAAGGUCCAGGCGUUAUCCGGAUUUAUUGGGUUUAAAGGGAGUGUAGGCGGUCUGUUAAGCGUGUUGUGAAAUUUAGGUGCUCAACAUUUAACUUGCAGCGCGAACUGGCGGACUUGAGUGCACGCAACGUAUGCGGAAUUCAUGGUGUAGCGGUGAAAUGCUUAGAUAUCAUGACGAACUCCGAUUGCGAAGGCAGCGUACGGGAGUGUUACUGACGCUUAAGCUCGAAGGUGCGGGUAUCGAACAGGAUUAGAUACCCUGGUAGUCCGCACGGUAAACGAUGGAUGCCCGCUGUUGGUACCUGGUAUCAGCGGCUAAGCGAAAGCAUUAAGCAUCCCACCUGGGGAGUACGCCGGCAACGGUGAAACUCAAAGGAAUUGACGGGGGCCCGCACAAG